UACAGAGACUGCAAGCGUUAUUCGGAUUCACUGGGCGUAAAGGGUGCGCAGGUGGCUAGGUGUGUUAGGCGUGAAAGCCCGGGGCUUAACCCCGGAAUUGCACCUAAAACUACUUGGCUAGAGCAUUGGAGAGGGGAGCAGAAUUCAUGGUGUAGCAGUGAAAUGCGUAGAUAUCAUGAGGAAUACCAGAGGCGAAGGCGGCUCCCUGGACAAUUGCUGACACUCAGGCACGAAAGCGUGGGGAGCAAAAGGG
rnacentral:rRNA from 1 species